GGAAUAUUGGACAAUGGGCGAAAGCCUGAUCCAGCCAUGCCGCGUGUGUGAAGAAGGUCUUCGGAUUGUAAAGCACUUUAAGUUGGGAGGAAGGGCAGUUACCUAAUACGUGAUUGUUUUGACGUUACCGACAGAAUAAGCACCGGCUAACUCUGUGCCAGCAGCCGCGGUAAUACAGAGGGUGCAAGCGUUAAUCGGAAUUACUGGGCGUAAAGCGCGCGUAGGUGGUUUGUUAAGUUGGAUGUGAAAUCCCCGGGCUCAACCUGGGAACUGCAUUCAAAACUGACUGACUAGAGUAUGGUAGAGGGUGGUGGAAUUUCCUGUGUAGCGGUGAAAUGCGUAGAUAUAGGAAGGAACACCAGUGGCGAAGGCGACCACCUGGACUAAUACUGACACUGAGGUGCGAAAGCGUGGGGAGCAAACAGGAUUAGAUACCCCAG
rnacentral:rRNA from 1 species